UUUAAUAACACUUCCGCAACAGCAAUCGAGUUCAACUUCUCAUGAUUACCGAUUCAGAAAUAGCUAUGACCAAGGCGGCUAUAAAUAUUUCAAUUCUUCUAUUCGUAUUUUUACGUCAUGUCCUGGAAGAGAUCGCUCGUAAAAAGGGAGAGUGUGAGUGAGAAAAAAUGAGAUUUAAAAAAAAAUCAUUCAUCAGGACACUCCUACAUAUAUUUUCUUACUCAGGACUGAGGUCCCGAAAAGUGCUCGUUUACAGCAAGACCUUCUAAACUCUGUAUACUUUUUAACAGAAACAGUUUUGUUUCACAAUUUCUAAAUCCAAAUAAAUAUAUACUA
rnacentral:misc_RNA from 1 species